UGCGGGGCUCGAACUCACGGACCGCGAGAUCGUGACCUGACUGAAGUCGGACGCUUAACCGACCGCGCCACCCAGGCGCCCCACUUGCUCACUCUUAAUCACAUGCUUAACUACAUCUGUAUUUGGACAUGCAUGAAUUUUUGAGCUUAAGGAAAACCAAUCCUGCUGGUCAGAAAUAUCCUAAACCUGUCACUUCAGGGAACAACCCCUCACUAAUAUAACUUUCCCAGUCACCAAAAUGAAAUGAGUGACACGAUUUUUUUCAUUUACAUAAUUAUAGUAAUACAAGAACUUACUUUUGCAAACACUACUAUACUAUUGUACCAACACUACUAUAUAGAAAAAGUUAAAAGAUUUUAUUAAAAUCCUAUCAUAUUCACAAGCCAUUCUCUUUAUUUUUUAUCUCUUCCUGUCUUUAUCCUAAAAGGGUGAUAUUUGUGUAGAUUUUAAGUAGCAUAUGUGAAAUUUUAGAGGCUUCAUUUCUUCAUGUCAUGACAAUAUUCUAAAUUUCAGGUGAUUUGAGUGAAAAAUAUUUUUUAAUAUGAGAAACAUUAUGUUUAUAUUCCCUGUUAGUUUUCUUUCCUUCACUAUAUUCUUUAGUUCAAUUCUUAGAAACUACAUCAUGAGAGUUUGAAUAUUUUAAUAACCCCAAAAUAUCUUACCCACUGCUCCAAACAUUAACUGUAGCUCUCAUAGCUCAUGAGAUCAAGCCCUGCAUCAGGCUCAGCACUGAGCAUGGAGCCUGCUUAAGGUUCUCUCUCUCCCUCCCUCUCUUCCCUUCUCUUUCUCUUAGAAAGAGGGAGAGAGAGUAUAGGUAUAACAAUUCUCAUUGUGUAGUGAGAAGGAAAAUUAAUGAGGGUCCCAAGUUACAUCUACGAUUCCUCCAAGGGACAUAAGGCGGUACAAAAUGUUAAAGAUGUUGGCUGGGGCUGAAUAGAAGAUGAGGACUAGAAACAUGCAUCUAAGAACACUUGAACUAAUACUUGAAUUUCAAAGAGGAGAGAAUGGGUGAAAUCAGAUUGGUUAUUUUCAGAUCUCUGCUUCCGAAUAUUGGUCUUGGGAUUUGAACUGAAAUUACAUCCAUCUUUCUAAGGGUGUUAUGUAAGUGGACUCAGGCCACUCAUAGAAUAAAGCCACACAUGUGAAAAUAAAGAAGGAAGAAAAAAACAAGAAAAGAAGGAAAAAUUAAAAAAAAAAAAGCUAAGUAUUUCCAGCUUAGCUUCAGGUAAUAUGCCCAGACUUUUUAAUUCCAACUGUAAAAUGUUUUUGCUGCCUCUUCUUAUUGUGCCCUUCUUUGCCCAAAGGCUCUAUGAAAUACGCAUUAUUGUCAAUCUCUCUUUUUUUUAAAACCACUAAUAAUUCUUUGCAAUUAUCUAAGUUCAUCUUAUGUAUUGAUUUCUCUGCAUAUGUAUGAGUGUGUGUAUGGGUCACUUAAAUCCUCAUUUUCUCUCCUCAUUAAUGUCUAUUUGCUAUUAUUUUUGUUAUUACUCUUCUCUUCCUUGUACAAAAGAAGAAAUAUCCAAAUGAUUUCUCAGACUUUUUCUCCUUCUGAAAAGAACAAAUAAGACAAAAUAAAUAAAAUCAUUUUAAAUUUUAAAAAAGGAAAGCAGUCCAACUGCUUGGAAAAGUGAUGAUUUACAUUUAGUAAUCAGCAAUAUCGACCGAUGGGUCAUAAUUGAACCUAUGUUAUUAUUAAUAGAAAUCAAAUUGAGUGUGUUGUACUCCCUGCACAGAGGCAGGAUGGACCCCAAAAUUGGCUUGGAUUUUGAGACUGAUAAUGUCACACAUGCACUAAGAGGAGAAGAAAAUGUUUUCAGGGUGUCUGAAUGUCUCAGCCUGUUGAGUGUCAGACUCUUGAUUUCAGCUCAGGUCAUGAUCCCAGGAUUAUGGGAUUGACCCCCCACAUAAGGCUCCAUGCUGACCGUGGAGCCUUCUUAAGAUUCUCUUUCUCUCUCCCUC